rnacentral:rRNA from 3 species
CGUUGACCUCGAAUCAGGUAGGACUACCCGCUGAACUUAA